GGCUUAGUGGAUGUUGGACUUGGGAUCUAGAAGACCAGGGUUCAAAUCCCUGCUCAGCCA
rnacentral:tRNA from 1 species